rnacentral:piRNA from 1 species
UAAGUUUUUGCCUUCCUUACUCGUCAC